UCCCGUUUAUCUAGUUUUGGUUCAAAGUUCACUCACAAUAACGGUGAAUUACUCAUACUUUGACACUUAUAUACUAUACAAGGUGUCUCAAAAAAACGCUAUGGAAAUUCAACAGGUUGUCAGUCGUGCAUCAUAAACUUAGCUAAACAAUUCAAUUUUUACAUAAAACGAAAGAGCUGUUAUUUAGCUUUUCCGUAUGAUACCUUUCUUAAACCGUAACGAUGAGAAAUGGCCACAUACUCGUCAAAUAAAAAUUGCCAGUCGAAAUCAAAUUCUUCCACCGUUGGGAAUUGAAAAUACAUUAAUUAUACAAAGUUAAUCAAUCCAAAAGCAAUGCGAGCCUGCUGCAAGGUAUUUGUUUCGUAAUACGUUUUGAUUACGAAUGUUCUCCAGUGGCGUAACUCCUGUGAGUUCUACCCGGUAAGAGCCGGGGGCACCCAGGCAAACAGGCUUCCAGGAGAGCACCCUGAACUGAGUUGUCCGGGGGCCUUGUUCAUCUAAGGAUUUAUGUGUUUAAGUACAGUGGCAAACAUUUCACUGUUUAUGUCAAAAACAAUUUCUGCAUGGUGUUUUUUCUGCAUAGUUGUUUUUUU